rnacentral:sRNA from 1 species
GACGCGCCUCGGCGCACCCAGAAACCCUUUGUGAACUUAUACCUUACUGUUGCCUCGGCGCAGGCCGGCUCCCAUCUGGGGGCCCCUCGUUUCUGACGAGGAGCAGGCUCGCCGGCGGCCAAGUUAACUCUUGUUUUUAAUUUGAAACUCUGAGAAUAAAACAUAAAUGAAUCAAAACUUUCAACAACGGAUCUCUUGGUUCUGGCAUCGAUGAAGAACGCAGCGAAAUGCGAUAAGUAAUGUGAAUUGCAGAAUUCAGUGAAUCAUCGAAUCUUUGAACGCACAUUGCGCCCUCUGGUAUUCCGGAGGGCAUGCCUGUUCGAGCGUCAUUUCAACCCUCAAGCCUGGCUUGGUGAUGGGGCACUGCCUUUGUGUAAAAGCGAAGGCAGGCCCUGAAAUUCAGUGGCGAGCUCGCCAGGACUCCGAGCGCAGUAGUUAAACCCUCGCUUUGGAAGGACUGGCGGUGCCCUGCCGUUAAACCCCCAACUCUUGAAAAUUUGACCUCGGAUCAGGUAGGAAUACCCGCUGAACUUAAGCAUAUCAAUAAGCGGAGGAAAAGAAACCAACAGGGAUUGCCCUAGUAACGGCGAGUGAAGCGGCAACAGCUCAAAUUUGAAAUCUGGCUUCGGCCCGAGUUGUAAUUUGCAGAGGAUGCUUCUGGCGCGGUGCCUUCCGAGUUCCCUGGAACGGGACGCCACAGAGGGUGAGAGCCCCGUAUGGUCGGACACCAAGCCUGUGUGAAGCUCCUUCGACGAGUCGAGUAGUUUGGGAAUGCUGCUCUAAAUGGGAGGUAAAUCUCUUCUAAAGCUAAAUACCGGCCAGAGACCGAUAGCGCACAAGUAGAGUGAUCGAAAGAUGAAAAGCACCUUGAAAAGGGGGUUAAAUAGUACGUGAAAUUGUUGAAAGGGAAGCGUUUAUGACCAGACUUGCGCCGGGCGGCUCAUCAGGGGUUCUCCCCUGUGCAUUCCGCCCGGCUCAGGCCAGCAUCGGUUCUCGUGGGGGGAUAAGACCGUCGGGAACGUAGCACCCUCCGGGGUGUGUUAUAGCCCGGCGGACGAUACCCUCGUGGG